UUCGCUGGAAGGUGCUGAUAGUGGCGGACGGGUGAGUAACGCGUGAGGACAUGUCUGAGGAGGGGGAUAACGUUUGGAAACGGACGCUAAGACCCCGUAAGCCGGGAGGUGAAAAUGGCGAAAGCCAGCCUGUGGAGUGACUCGCGUCCUAUCAGCUAGUUGGCGGGGUGAAGGCCCACCAAGGCGAUGACGGGUAGCCGACCUGAGAGGGUGGCCGGCCACACUGGAACUGAGAUACGGUCCAGACUCCUACGGGAGGCAGCAGUGGGGAAUAUUGGGCAAUGGGCGGAAGCCUGACCCAGCGACGCCGCGUGGGGGAAGAAGUCUUUCGGGAUGUAAACCCUUGUUGUACGGGACGAAGGAAGUGACGGUACCGUACGAGGAAGCCCCGGCAAACUACGUGCCAGCAGCCGCGGUAAUACGUAGGGGGGCGAGCGUUGUCCGGAAUCACUGGGCGUAAGCGCCGUAGGCGGGCUGUCAAGUCGGCCGUGAAAGGAUGGGCUCACCUGUGCAUGUCGGUCCAUACUGGCGGUCUGGAGUAGGGAGAAGGACUGGAAUUCCCGGGUACCGGGGAAUGCGUAAUUUCGGGGGAACCCCGGGGGAAGGCGGGUCCUGGCCCUUAAUGACCCUGAGGGCAAAACCCGGGAACAACGGGAUU
rnacentral:rRNA from 1 species